GGAUUCGGGAGAGACCGUGAACAGACUGCGGCGCCGAAGGGGAAGCGAAUAACUCUCAGGCAAAAGGACCGGA
rnacentral:ncRNA from 1 species